rnacentral:rRNA from 1 species
AUACAGAGGGUGCAAGCGUUAUUCGGAAUCACUGGGCGUAAAGGACGCGUAGGCGGGUUUGUAAGUCAGGUGUGAAAUCCUACAGCUCAACUGUAGAACUGCACUUGAAACUACAGACCUAGAGUAUGGAAGGGGCAGAUGGAAUUAGUGGUGUAGGGGUAAAAUCCGUAGAUAUCACUAGGAAUACCGAAAGCGAAGGCGAUCUGCUGGGACAUUACUGACGCUGAGGCGUGAAAGCGUGGGGAGCAAACAGGAUUAGAUACCCUAGUAGUCC